GAUGAAGAACGUAACGAAAUGCGAUAAGUAAUGUGAAUUGCAGAAUUCAGUGAAUCAUCGAAUCUUUGAACGCACAUUGCGCCCGCCAGUAUUCUGGCGGGCAUGCCUGUUCGAGCGUCAUUACAACCCUCAGGCCCCCGGGCCUGGCGUUGGGGAUCGGCGGAGCCCCCCGUGGGCACACGCCGUCCCCCAAAUACAGUGGCGGUCCCGCCGCAGCUUCCAUCGCGUAGUAGCUAACACCUCGCGACUGGAGAGCGGCGCGGCCACGCCGUAAAACACCCAACUCUUCUGAAGUUGACCUCGAAUCAGGUAGGAAUACCCGCUGAACUUAAGCAUAUCAAUAAGCGGAGGA
rnacentral:misc_RNA from 1 species